UGGGGAAUAUUGGACAAUGGGCGAAAGCCUGAUCCAGCAACGCCGCGUGAGUGAUGAAGGCCUUCGGGUUGUAAAACUCUUUCAGUAGGGAAGAUAAUGACGGUACCUACAGAAGAAGCUCCGGCUAACUUCGUGCCAGCAGCCGCGGUAAUACGAAGGGAGCUAGCGUUACUCGGAAUUAUUGGGCGUAAAGCGUGCGUAGGCGGUUUUAACAGUCGGAAGUGAAAGCCUGAGGCUCAACCUCAGAAUUGCUUUCGAUACUAUAAAACUUGAGUAUUAGAGGGGAUAGCGGAAUUCUUAGUGUAGAGGUGAAAUUCGUAGAUAUUAAGAGGAACACCGGUGGCGAAGGCGGCUAUCUGGCUAAAUACUGACGCUGUUGCACGAAAGCGUGGGGAGCAAA
rnacentral:rRNA from 1 species